rnacentral:rRNA from 1 species
AACGGUGGAGAGGUCAAAGCUCCGGCGGCGUAGGAUAGCUCUGCGGCCUAUCAGGUUGUAGCGAGGGUAACGUCCUCGCUAGCCUACGACGGGUAUGGGUGUUGGGAGACAUCGCCCAGAGAUGGAUUCUGAGACACGAAUCCAGGCCCUACGGGGCGCAGCAGGCGCGAAAACUGCACAAUGUGGGCAACCACGAUGCGGGAAACCCAAGUGCCAGCGCUAUGCGUUGGCUGUCCUCCAGUGUUCGUAACUGGGGAAGAAAGUGCUGGGUAAGACGGGUGCCAGCCGCCGCGGUAAUACCCGCAGCACAAGUGGUGGUCAUUAUUAUUGGGCCUAAAGCGUCCGUAGCUGGCUUGUUAGAUGCCUGGGUAAAUCGAUGCGCUCAACGCAUCGAACUCCGGGUAGACCGGCAAGCUUGGGACCGGGAGAGGCGUGAGCUACUCGAGGGGUAGGGGUAAAAUCCUGUAAUCCUUCGGGGAGGACCAGUGGCGAAGGCGUCACGCUAGAACGGCUCCGACAGUGAGGGACGAAGCCCUGGGGCGCAAACCGGAUUAGAUACCCGGGUAGUCCAGGGUGUAAACGCUGCAGACUUGGUGUCGGUGAUCCUACGAGGGUUGCCGGUGCCGUAGAGAAGUUGUUUAGUCUGCCGCCUGGGGAGUA